rnacentral:rRNA from 1 species
UUCCAGCUCCAAUAGCGUAUAUUAAAGUUGUUGCAGUUAAAAAGCUCGUAGUUGAACUUCAGACCUGGCUGGGUGGUCCGCUUAACGGCGUGUACUGCUUGGCUGGGCCUUACUUCUUGGUGAGCCGGCGUGCCCUUUAUUGGUGUGCGUCGGGGAACCAGGACUUUUACCUUGAGAAAAUUAGAGUGCUUAAAGCAGGCUAUCCUCGCCUGAAUACUGCGUGCAUGGAAUAAUGGAAUAGGACCUCGGUUCUAUUUUGUUGGUUUUCGGAACCCCGAGGUAAUGAUUAAUAGGGACAGAUGGGGGCAUUCGUAUUGCGACGUUAGAGGUGAAAUUCUUGGAUCGUCGCAAGACGGACAGAAGCGAAAGCAUUUGCCAAAAAUGUUUUCAUUAAUCAAGAACGAAAGUUAGAGGUUCGAAGGCGAUCAGAUACCGCCCUAGUUCUAACCAUAAACGAUGCCAGCUAGCGAUCCGCCGAAGUUCCUCCGAUGACUCGGCGGGCAGCUUCCGGGAAACCAAAGCUUUUGGGUUCCGGGGGAAGUAUGGUUGCAAAGCUGAAACUUAAAGGAAUUGACGGAAGGGCACCACCAGGAGUGGAGCCUGCGGCUUAAUUUGACUCAACACGGGAAACCUCACCAGGCCCAGACACCGGAAGGAUUGACAGAUUGAUAGCUCUUUCAUGAUUUUAUGGGUGGUGGUGCAUGGCCGUUCUUAGUUGGUGGAGUGAUUUGUCUGGUUAAUUCCGAUAACGAACGAGACCUUAACCUGCUAAAUAGCCAGGCCGGCUUCGGCUGGUCUCUGGCUUCUUAGAGGGACUGUCAGCGUCUAGCUGACGG